ensembl:snRNA U6 U6 spliceosomal RNA
GUGCUUGUUUCAGUAGCAUGUGUACUGCAACCAGAAUACAGAGAGAAGAUCAGCAUGGCCCUUGCACAAGGAUGACACCCAGAUGCAUGAAGUGCUCCAUACAUUU